rnacentral:pre_miRNA from 1 species
CGGGUUUCGCGACGCUCGAACGCCGUUUUACAGUCCGUUCGUUGUCGACGAAACCUGCA